rnacentral:rRNA from 1 species
GAUGAACGCUGGCGGCGUGCCUAAUACAUGCAAGUAGAACGCUGAAGGAAGGAGCUUGCUCUUUCCGGAUGAGUUGCGAACGGGUGAGUAACGCGUAGGUAACCUGCCUGGUAGCGGGAGAUAACUAUUGGAAACGAUAGCUAAUACCGCAUAACAGUAGAUGUUGCAUGAUAUCUACUUAAAAGGUGCAAUUGCACCACUACCAGAUGGACCUGCGUUGUAUUAGCUAGUUGGUGAGGUAACGGCUCACCAAGGCGACGAUACAUAGCCGACCUGAGAGGGUGAUCGGCCACACUGGGACUGAGACACGGCCCAGACUCCUACGGGAGGCAGCAGUAGGGAAUCUUCGGCAAUGGACGGAAGUCUGACCGAGCAACGCCGCGUGAGUGAAGAAGGGUUUCGGAUCGGAAAGCUCUGUUGUAAGAGAAGAACGAGUGUGAGAGUGGAAAGUUCACACUGUGACGGUAUCUGACCAGAAAGGGACGGCUAACUACGUG